rnacentral:rRNA from 1 species
GACGAACGCUGGCGGCGUGCCUAAUACAUGCAAGUCGAACGCUUCUUUCCUCCCGAGUGCUUGCACUCAAUUGGAAAGAGGAGUGGCGGACGGGUGAGUAACACGUGGGUAACCUACCCAUCAGAGGGGGAUAACACUUGGAAACAGGUGCUAAUACCGCAUAACAGUUUAUGCCGCAUGGCAUAAGAGUGAAAGGCGCUUUCGGGUGUCGCUGAUGGAUGGACCCGCGGUGCAUUAGCUAGUUGGUGAGGUAACGGCUCACCAAGGCCACGAUGCAUAGCCGACCUGAGAGGGUGAUCGGCCACACUGGGACUGAGACACGGCCCAGACUCCUACGGGAGGCAGCAGUAGGGAAUCUUCGGCAAUCGACGAAAGUCUGACCGAGCAACGCCGCGUGAGUGAAGAAGGUUUUCGGAUCGUAAAACUCUGUUGUUAGAGAAGAACAAGGACGUUAGUAACUGAACGUCCCCUGACGGUAUCUAACCAGAAAGCCACGGCUAACUACGUG